rnacentral:rRNA from 1 species
AAACGACAGUGAUUCCCCAAGUAGUGGCGAGCGAACGGGGAACAGCCUAAACCGGUGGCGUGUCAAGCCUGCAAGCGUUGCGUCACCGGGGUUGCGGAGCUCCAUUGGAGGGAAUUGCAGUUCUCUCGGAAAGUUACAAAAUCUGUUUAUAGCCGAAGCUGCUGGAAAGCGGCGUCACAGAGGGUGAUAGCCCCGUAAGCGAAAUGAACAGAUCUUUCUGGAUGGAGUUUCCAAGUACUGCGGGACACGAGAAAUCCCGCAGGAACCCGGGGGGACCAUCUCCCAAGGCUAAAUACUACCUGGCAACCGAUAGUGCACUAGUACCGUGAGGGAAAGGUGAAAAGUACUCCGAGAGGAGAGUGAAAUAGUACCUGAAACCGUGUGCCUACAAGGUGUGGAAGGACCAGGGAUGAAGCAAUUCAUCCGGUCUGACCGCGUGCCUUUUGUAUAAUGAGUCAGCGAGUUACUCUAUGUAGCGAGGUUAAGCCGUCAGGUGGAGCCGUAGCGAAAGCGAGUCUUAAUAGGGCGAUUUAGUUGCAUGGAGUAGACCCGAAGCCAGGUGAUCUAUUCAUGGCCAGGGUGAAGCGUAUGUAACAGUGCGUGGAGGCCCGAACCGGUGUGGGUUGAAAACCGCUCGGAUGAGCUGUGGAUAGGGGUGAAAGGCCAAUCAAACUUGGAAAUAGCUGGUUCUCCCCGAAAUAUAUUUUGGUAUAGCCUUGCAACUUUAAGUACCGGAGGUAGAGCACUGAAUGGGCUAGGGGUCCUACCAGACUACCAACCCCAACCAAACUCCGAAUGCCGGUAACUUCAAUUGCAGGAGUCAGACUGCGGGAGAUAAGUUCCGUGGUCGAGAGGGAAACAGCCCAGAUCGCCAGCUAAGGUCCCUAAUACAUGCUAAGUGGAAAAGGAUGUGGAAGCGUAUAGACAGCCAGGAGGUUGGCUUAGAAGCAGCCACCCUUUAAAGAAAGCGUAAUAGCUCACUGGUCAAAUGAGUCUGCGCCGAAAAUUUAACGGGGCUCAAGCAUGUAACCGAAGCUGCGGACUUGCAUCGCAAGAUGGGAGUGGUAGGGGAGCAUUCUGUCGUAGGUUGAAGCCGGAUCGAAAGGCCCGGUGGACGAAACAGAAGAGAUUAUGCUGACAUAAGUAGCGAUAAAGUCUGUGAAAAACAGACUCGCCGAAAACCUAAGGUUUCCUGAGUAAAGCUAAUCUUCUCAGGGUUAGUCGAUCCCUAAGCCGAGGCCGACAGGCGUAGGUGAUGGGAAACAGGUUAAUAUUCCUGUACCACUGAAGACGCGUUAUCAACUAAGGGGGGACGUAGAAGGGUAAGCCAUCCGGGUGUUGGAUGUCCCGGUUCAAGCAAGUAGGAGGAGAUUCCAGGCAAAUCCGGAAUCUUAUUUAAAACUCCGAGAUGCGACGAGGAGAGAUUUAUCUCAUAAACUGGCCGAUCCCAUGCUACCAAGAAAAUCCUCGUAGUGAGUUUCUUUGGUGCUCGUACCGUAAACUGACACAGGUAGGUAAGGAGAGAAUCCUAAGGCGCUUGAGUGAUCUCUCGUUAAGGAACUCGGCAAAAUGACACCGUAACUUCGGAAGAAGGUGUGCCUCGUUAGCGUGAAGCGAUUCGCACGUGAAGCGCGAGGAGGUUGCAGUGAAACGGCCCAAGCGACUGUUUAGCAAAAACACAGGACUCUGCGAAGUCGUAAGACGAUGUAUAGGGUCUGACGCCUGCCCGGUGCCGGAAGGUUAAGGGGAUUUGUUAGCCGCAAGGCGAAGCUUUGAACCGAAGCCCCGGUAAACGGCGGCCGUAACUAUAACGGUCCUAAGGUUAAAGUGAAAAACGCUAGCCUUAGUAAAACUAAACCAUAUGCGGGAAACUCCUCAACAGCCGUUCGAUACUCGUUUCGCGGACGACGCGGAACAGUAAAAAUUCGACGGACAGGGGGACAAUCCGCAGGGAAGGCCCGGAUCGUUUGAAAUCCGGGAACCCUCAGAGACUUGAUGUUUGGAGUUGACUUAUGAAUAUCAGUGCGGAAUGGAUCACAGGAUUUGUUGAUGGGGAAGGAUGCUUUCAUAUCGGCAUCAAUACUCAUGAUGAAAUGACGGCAGGUUUUCAGGUUUUACCGGAAUUCACCGUUGUUCAGCAUCAAAGAGAUGUGCAAAUCCUGCAUGCUCUGAAAGCGUAUUUCCAGUGCGGCGUCGUGAGGACCAAUCACGGUGACCGGAUGGCUUAUCGCGUAAGAGCAAAAGAGCAUUUGCUUGAAAAAAUUAUUCCAUUCUUCAUGAAGCACCCGUUGAAAUCAAAGAAACGCCAGGAUUUUUUAAAGUUCCGAAAGGUUGUUUUGAUGAUGGAAAAGGGUGAGCAUUUGACUGACGAGGGGAUUGAAAGGAUCCGUGAGAUAGCCGGUCAAAUGAAUCGAAGUCAAUUAAGGUAAAGUCCGUCCUUCUUGGAAAC